GACAGAGGGUGCGAACGUUGCUCGGAAUUACUGGGCGUAAAGCGCGUGCAGGUGGCUCCGCACGUCCGGUGUGAAAGCCCGGGGCUCAACCCCGGAAGCGAGCUGGAUACGACGGAGCUUGAGGGCUGGAGAGGCUGGCGGAAUUCCCGGUGUAGAGGUGAAAUUCGUAGAUAUCGGGAGGAACACCGGUGGCGAAGGCGGCCAGCUGGACAGCACCUGACACUGAGACGCGAAAGCGUGGGUAGCAAACAGG
rnacentral:rRNA from 1 species